AUAGUCAUUGGCGUAGCUAUGCUCCAAAGUUGUAAAGGUCUGCAUUGUGAUUCACCCCUAAAGUCUAUAAAUGAUUCCUCACUGCAUCCCAUCUGCCCGUAGAUGCUUCAAACACCCCAGGUUACAAAGCAACAUGAACAUCAGUCGGGACCUUUACAGAGUCUUCCGGACCGAGGUGCAAACGCACAGCGUUUGGGGCUAAACUGAUUGGAAUAACAUUCUCAAAUGAGGGUUUUUCACAAGCAGACUUCUCUACAAAGUUGGGGCAGCGUAUUUUCAAUUUUAAACUAUUGUGAAAUCAACAGAAAUGGCAAGGGUGGCGAUCUGUGUUUUGGCAGAGGUGUCCGAACAUGAUUCGACCCUGGGAUUCCAUUCUGCAAGCAGGUUCACUGAGGAGAGAAGAAAAAUCUCCACGUAACUACAGCACAAGGCGGAGCGUCGUACACACACCCAGAGAGGGUAUAAUAAAGAAGAAUAUCAACAAGUGUCUGAAAACGCUACUAAAUACAGCACACUCUUCUAAUUAAAUGCCUGCGUGAGGCAAGAUUUCCCUCACAUACUUCAACCAAAGCGCAGCUUAGACCUUGAAUUCAAAAUCCACCGGAAUACUCCUCAUGCGCUACGGCCCCCCCUGCAUGUACAGGCGACCCCGGACCUUCAUCACCUCACCUUGCGGACCCUGGAGCUCGAGGAACCAACACAAGUUGCUAACUGUGGUGAUUGCUGUCGCUCUGCUUCCAAGAGACGGCGUUGAUGAGUUUGAGUACAUGAGUUUGAAAUAUAUUUGAAUGCUUCAUUCAAUCAAAGCAAUUUCAAAGAAUGUUCACAUUUGGCUUGAGGUGCUACUAUUUCAUUAAAUAUUUGUUUUCCCCGAUAAGACUUAAUGAAUUGCCCGCAGUAAGCAUUUAUCAAGCUUGACAUAUUUUGUAAAAUGUUGCUGAGAAUUCCUUCUUGGUAGUUUUUAUAUUUAGAAUUGAAUUGCACUUGGAUGAUGUUUUGAUAACAUAUCUACUCUCAAUGAUGUCAAGAAAUUAUUUCUUAUUGCUCACAUUUAUGCAAGUUUUAUAACACAAAAGAGCUACAAAUACAGGCUCACCAUAAGCAACUUUUAUAAAAUUUAUGUGGGGGAGAAAUUAUUCAUUUGAAAAGAGUUACAUUGUACACAGUGAUAUGAAGCCUCCCACAUCUUUAUUUCAGCAUUUCAUUCUCGAUAUUUAACUAGCAUAUAGUACUUACUAAAUUACUAUAAUACAUCAGGCAUUGUUCUUAGACAGAGGAUACACUGAUGUAUAUGAAAUGACCCCAGGAUUUGUGCAGUCAUAAUCUCCUUGCGGAUACUGACAAAUGAACAAUUAGAAAAACAUUCUACAAUCUUCUGCGAGCCAUCACAGAGGUUACAAAAGCUGGACACAUAAAGGAGCUUUCAGCAGGAGUUAUAGGGUGGACAGAGGUCAGAAGAGCCCCUUCCAUAUGUGCAACAGCAGAGUUAACUCUAAAGGAUAGGGAAGAAUAACAUGUGCAGGAGAGGACCUUACGGUGUAAAAUACAAUCUGACAUACCAAGUCAUAACCAGUGGUUUAAUCUGAUUAAAAUAUAUACUGUAAAGGGGAAGAGGUGAAAAUGCCAGGAGGAUCCAGGUCAUACAAUUUUCUCUGUGUCAUAUUCAGUAAUUGAAUUUAAAAUAAAGGUGCUGGAAAAUGUCUGAGAAGUAGCAAAUAGGAGGCAACAAAGAGGGUCUUUGUUUCUGAAAGGUUACUAUGGUUGCAACACUGUGGAUUUUUAGAAUAGGUCAAACCUUUCAGCGAGGAGACAGAAUAGGGAGGAAAUACAUAUUCUGAGCGGGAGGUGGCAGCAGCCAGAAAAUCAUGACAAAUAGGAAUUACGGAAGCUGAUGUUUCUCUCAGGUCCCUUCACAUUCCUUUGACUUCUGUGAGCCCACCUCGUUUUCUAUGCACUUUUGUUUGUAAGGUUCACCCCUAAAUCCCAAGGCUCACAUGAUAAACAAUUGUCUCCCGGUGGGACAGCAUGCACAGAGAACCCGGGUUUGGAAUCAAUGACUCCCCAGUUUGGAAGGAUGAGUGAAACCCCACCCACCCCCACCCUUGCCUCCAGGAACAACCAGAGCUCCCCUGUGGAUUCACGCUAAAGCGGAGAUCUGACUAUAAUCACACCUCCCUCUGUCUUUUUCCCUUGGCCCCUCCGGCUUUCCUGAUUGCCUGUCUGAUUUCUCUAAAUAGCACUGCCUUAUUAAUAAUUGGCACAGGAAUCUUGGUCUCAAAGUCAACUGUAUAGGACUGUGACCUAAGUGUUAAUAUAUCAAUGAUGCAAAUUGAGAAGCAAAGGGACUGAGUAAUUGGAUUUGUGUAACAAGGCGGUGGUUGAAGUCAAAGGAUAGACGGGUUUCAGUUUGGCUGAGCUGCUGACAUUCUUCAUUGGUAGGAGACAGCAGGAGAAAUGUAAUCACAUUGUCCCUGCCCAUAUUAGAAUAUUCUUCCUUUCUCUAUGUAUUUAUCCAUCCACAGCAGGGUAUGCACCUUGGAAAACUAAGCAUGAGCUGGAUUUUUGUCAAAUUCCCCCUGUACAUAGCAUCACUGACUUCCAUGAAAGUUAGCAUUAUAAAACGUGUCACUGCUUGUUCAAAGAUACGUUGUAUCUAGA